UGGGGAAUAUUGCACAAUGGGCGAAAGCCUGAUGCAGCGACGCCGCGUGCGGGAUGACGGCCUUCGGGUUGUAAACCGCUUUCGGCAGGGAAGAAGCCGUAAGGUGACGGUACCUGCAGAAGAAGCGCCGGCUAACUACGUGCCAGCAGCCGCGGUAAUACGUAGGGCGCAAGCGUUGUCCGGCAUUAUUGGGCGUAAAGGGUGCUCAGGCGGAUUUGUAAGUCAGAGGUGAAAUCUUACAGCUUAACUGGGAAACUGCCUUUGAUACUGCAAGCCUAGAGUAUGGAAGAGAGUGAUGGAAUAUCUGGUGUAGCAGUGAAAUGCGUAGAUAUCAGAUAGAACACCAAUGGCGAAGGCAGUCACUUGGUCCAUUACUGACGCUAAAGCACGAAAGCGUGGGUAGCAAAC
rnacentral:rRNA from 1 species